rnacentral:rRNA from 1 species
UGGGGAAUAUUGCACAAUGGGCGAAAGCCUGAUGCAGCGACGCCGCGUGAGGGAUGACGGCCUUCGGGUUGUAAACCUCUUUCAGCAGGGACGAAGCGCAAGUUACGGUACCUGCAGAAGAAGCACCGGCUAACUACGUGCCAGCAGCCGCGGUAAUACGUAGGGUGCAAGCGUUGUCCGGAAUUACUGGGCGUAAAGAGUUCGUAGGCGGUUAGUCGCGUCGUUUGUGAAAACCAGCAGCUCAACUGCUGGCUUGCAGGCGAUACGGGCAGACUUGAGUACUGCAGGAGAGACUGGAAUUCAUGGUGUAUCGGUGAAAUGCGCAGAUAUCAGGAGGAACACCGGUGGCGAAGGCGAGUCUCUGGGCAGUAACUGACGCUGAGGAACGAAAGCGUGUGUAGCGAACAGG